rnacentral:rRNA from 1 species
AGUGAACGCUGGCGGUAGGCCUAACACAUGCAAGUCGAACGGCAGCACAGUAAGAGCUUGCUCUUACGGGUGGCGAGUGGCGGACGGGUGAGGAAUACAUCGGAAUCUACUUUUUCGUGGGGGAUAACGUAGGGAAACUUACGCUAAUACCGCAUACGACCUACGGGUGAAAGCAGGGGAUCUUCGGACCUUGCGCGAUUGAAUGAGCUGAUGUCGGAUUAGCUAGUUGGCGGGGUAAAGGCCCACCAAGGCGACGAUCCGCAGCUGGUCUGAGAGGAUGAUCGGCGACCCGGGAGCUGGGACACGGUCCAGACGCCUACGGGAGGCAGCAGUGGGGAAUAUUGGACAGUGGGCGGAAGCAUGAUCCAGCCAUACCGAGUGGGUGAAGAAGGCCUUCGGGUUGUAAAGCCCUUUUGUUGGGAAAGAAAAGCAGCAGGUUAAGACCCCGCUGUUCUGACGGUACCCAGAGAAUAAGCACCGGCUAACUUCGUG